rnacentral:lncRNA from 1 species
CUGAAAGACGUCAUUACUCUACGGAGGCAUGUGGAAACAAAAGUUAGAGCUAAAAUCCGUAAGAGGAAGGUGACAACGAAAAUCAACCGUCAUGACAAAAUCAAUGGAAAGAGGAAGACCGCCAGAAAACAGAAAAUGUUUCAACGUGCGCAAGAGUUGCGGCGGCGGGCAGAGGACUACCACAAAUGCAAAAUCCCCCCUUCUGCAAGAAAGCCUCUUUGCAACUGGGUAAGUUUGUUUGUUUUCCUUGCUUUUGAACAUAGUCUGCCAGGUCAGGACAUGGAUACAUUUUUCUCCCUACAGCUCUGUGCUCAAGCCCUGCAGAGGGAGAUGGCAGAGAGGAAGGCUGCCUACAGGCAUCACAGUCCCAUCCCUGUUGGUAACCGUGUUGUGCAAAAACACCUUCAUCCCCACCCAGUGGGGCCCCUGAUCUAAAUUCAAAGUGUCAGAGGUUCCAUAUUUGUAAUAGCAAAUGGGCCCUGACUGUAAAUUAGUGAAGAGUGAAUGU